rnacentral:rRNA from 1 species
GAUGAACGCUGGCGGCGUGUCUAAGGCAUGCAAGUCGAACGGACUGUUAUUUGUAGCAAUACUUAGAACAGUUAGUGGCAAACGGGUGCGUAACACAUUGGUAACCUGCCUCAAAGUCGGGCAUAAUCCCGCGAAAGUGGGACUAAUUCCACGAUGGUCAUCGAAGGUGAGAUUCCUUCGAUGUAAAGUCGCAAGACGCUUUGAGAGGGGCCUAUGGCCUAUCAGCUUGUUGGUGAGGUAACGGCUCACCAAGGCUAUGACGGGUAGGGGGUGUGAGAGCACGACCCCCCUCACUGGGACUGAGACACUGCCCAGACACCUACGGGUGGCUGCAGUCGAGAAUAUUCCCCAAUGGCCGAAAGGCUGAGGGAGCGACGCCGCGUGCAGGAAUAAGGCCUUC